UAGCUCAGUCAGUUGAGCGUGGCACUAACAACGCCAAGGUCGCGGGUUCGAUUCCCAU
rfam:Apaloderma vittatum contig89307, whole genome shotgun sequence.